rnacentral:rRNA from 1 species
UACGUAGGCAGCGAGCGUUGUUCGGAGUUACUGGGCGUAAAGGGUGUGUAGGCGGUUGUUUAAGUUUGGUGUGAAAUCUCCCGGCUCAACUGGGAGGGUGCGCCGAAUACUGAAUGACUAGAGUGCGGGAGAGGAAAGUGGAAUUCCUGGUGUAGCGGUGAAAUGCGUAGAUAUCAGGAGGAACACCGGUGGUGUAGACGGCUUUCUGGACGGUAACUGACGCUGAGACGCGAAAGCGUGGGGAGCAAACAGG